UACGUAGGGGGCUAGCGUUGUCCGGAUUUAUUGGGCGUAAAGAGCGUGUAGGCGGCCAUGUAGGUCCGGUGUGAAAACUCGAGGCUUAACCUCGAGAUGUCAUCGGAAACCAUUUGGCUAGAGUCCGGAAGAGGAGAGUGGAAUUCCUGGUGUAGCGGUGAAAUGCGCAGAUAUCGGGAGGAACACCAGUAGCGAAGGCGGCUCGCUGGGCCAUUCCUGACGCUGAGACGGCGAAAAGCUAGGG
rnacentral:rRNA from 1 species